UACAGAGGUCUCAAGCGUUGUUCGGAUUCAUUGGGCGUAAAGGGUGCGUAGGCGGCGCGGUAAGUCGGAUGUGAAAUCUCGGAGCUUAACUCCGAAACUGCAUUCGAUACUGCCGUGCUUGAGGACUGGAGAGGAGAGUGGAAUUUACGGUGUAGCGGUGAAAUGCGUAGAUAUCGGAAGGAAGACCAGUGGCGAAGGCGGGUCUCUGGACAGUUCCUGACGCUGAGGCACGAAGGCCAGGGGAGCAAACGGG
rnacentral:rRNA from 1 species